AACGAACGCUGGCGGCAUGCCUAACACAUGCAAGUCGAACGAUGCUUUCGGGCAUAGUGGCGCACGGGUGCGUAACGCGUGGGAAUCUGCCCUGGGGUUCGGGAUAACAGCGGGAAACUGCUGCUAAUACCGGAUGAUAUCGCGAGAUCAAAGAUUUAUCGCCCUGGGAUGAGCCCGCGUCGGAUUAGGUAGUUGGUGGGGUAAGAGCCUACCAAGCCGACGAUCCGUAGCUGGUCUGAGAGGAUGAUCAGCCACACUGGGACUGAGACACGGCCCAGACUCCUACGGGAGGCAGCAGUGGGGAAUAUUGGACAAUGGGCGCAAGCCUGAUCCAGCAAUGCCGCGUGAGUGAUGAAGGCCUUAGGGUUGUAAAGCUCUUUUACCCGGGAUGAUAAUGACAGUACCGGGAGAAUAAGCCCCGGCUAACUCCGU
rnacentral:rRNA from 1 species